GUCCUUUAGGGAAUAAUUUAAGGUCUAACCUGCCCAUUGAUUAAUUUUAACGGCCGCAGUAUUUUGACUGUGCAAAGGUAGCAUAAUCAUUAGUUUUUUAAUUAAAAGCUUGUAUGAAUGGUUGGACGAGAUAUAAUCUGUCUCUUUAUAAAUAUUAGAAUUUAAUUUUUAAGUUAAAAAGCUUAAAUAGUUUUAAAAGACGAGAAGACCCUAUAGAUCUUUAUAAUAUAUAAUAUAGUUAAUUUAAAGAUUAAUUUUUUAAUUAUAUUAAAUGUUAUUUUAUUGGGGUAAUAAGAGAAUUUAAUAAAUUUCUUUAAAUAGAUGACAGGGAUAAGUGAGUUAGUGAUCCAAAAUUAAUGAUUAAAAGAUUAAGUUACCUUAGGGAUAACAGCGUAAUUUUUUUAAAGAGUUCUUAUCGAUAAAAAAGUUUGCGACCUCGAUGUUGGAUUAAAAAUUAUUUUAGGUGAAGAAGUUUAAAAGUUUAGUCUGUUCGACUAUUAAAUUUUUACA
rnacentral:rRNA from 1 species